GGUCAUCAAUUCUCACCGAGGAAUGCGAAGUAUUCAGUUCUCAAGGGAAGGAUCAAGGAGACUGUAGCGCCUAUGAGAAGAUUGAUUCACAACACUGAAGCAUAAUAGAAGUACCAAAGAAGGACCAGAAAAGCAGAUUAUGAUUUUAUUUAACGUCACCGGAGAUUAACUUGUAGUGCUACAGUACUAAUAAGCUAAUCCUGAGAAGCUCAAUGUCCAGGAUUCAUUGAAUGUCGGGAAGAAGCUGUUCUCUCUUGAGAAGUGGAAAAUUCCGUCUGACUAUUCCCAGUUCAGGAAAUGCUGUGAACACUCACAAGAAAUAAUUUCUAAUUUAGGGUGAAAAUUGGAAUUUUAUUUGUCUACAAAUGUCGCAAAGAUAUCUCUGUCGCAUCUAUAUGAUCAACAUAUUUUUUUCCGGAAGAUUGCUGGUUUUCUUCGUUGCAAUAGGCUCACUCAAAACGAAUUGCUCAAUGUACGGAAUGAGGGCAGUAAUUGUGAAGUCCUGAAUGAGGUGACGCGGUUUAUGUGCAUCGCUGGCUGAUAGGUAGCAAAAUAGGAGUCUCAGUACUGUGAUCAUUGGCGAUAUAUCUCCUGCAUUUCCCCGCAGGAGCUACAGUGAAGGAUGUACCGCUUCAUCGAUGAGAAUUGCCAGAGUGCAGAUUUAGAUCAACUUUGGGGUGAUACCUCAAAUAUCACAUUUAAACUUCUGGAAAUAUUCAAAGAAAUUGAAUUUGAUUAGAAUUUAGAAUAAUUUUCUCUGCAUACCAUGUUUAAUGAUUCAAAAA